GCGAAGGUGGCGGAAUUGGUAGACGCGCUAGCUCAGGUGUUAGUGUCCUUACGGACGUGGGGGUUCAAGUCCCCCCCCUCGCACCA
rnacentral:tRNA from 1 species